rnacentral:rRNA from 1 species
UACAGAGGGGGCAAGCGUUGUUCGGAAUUACUGGGCGUAAAGGGCGCGUAGGCGGCCUUCUAAGUCGAACGUGAAAUCCCCGGGCUCAACCCGGGAACUGCGUCCGAUACUGGGAGGCUUGAAUCCGGGAGAGGGAUGUGGAAUUCCAGGUGUAGCGGUGAAAUGCGUAGAUAUCUAGAGGAACACCGGUGGCGAAGGCGGCAUCCUGGACCGGCAUUGACGCUGAGGAGCGAAAGCCAGGGGAGCAAACGGG